rnacentral:rRNA from 1 species
GUGGAAUAAUGGAUUCCGGUUGAUCCUGCCGGCGGCCACCGCUAUUGGAAUGCGAUUAAGACAUGCGAGUCGAGAGACAUUUGGUCUCGGCGGACCGCUCAGUAACACGUGGACAACAUGCCCUAAGGUGGGGGAUAAUCUCGGGAAACUGAGGAUAAUACCCCAUAGGUCUAAUCUGCUGGAAUGCUUUUAGGCCGAAAACUCCGGUGCCUUAGGAUUGGUCUGCGGUCUAUCAGGUUGUAGUGGGUGUAAUGGACCCACUAGCCCGUGACGGAUAUGGGCCUUGAGAGAGGGAGCCCAGAGAUGGACUCUGAGACAUGAGUCCAGGCCCUACGGGGCGCAGCAGUCGCGAAAACUUCGCAAUGGGGGAAACCCCGACGAGGGAAUUCCAAGUGCCAGCAUUUAAUGUUGGCUGUUCUUUUGUCUAAAAAACAUGAGAAGUAAGGGGCGGGUAAGACGGGUGCCAGCCGCCGCGGUAAUACCCGCGCCCCAAGUGGUGGUCGAUAUUAUUGAGCCUAAAACGUCCGUAGCCGGUUUUCUAAAUCCUUGGGUAAAUCGGGCAGCUUAACUGUCCGAAUUCCGGGGAGACUGGGAGACUUGGGACCGGGAGAGGUCAGAGGUACUUCUGGGGUAGGGGUAAAAUCCUGUAAUCCUGGAAGGACCACCGGUGGCGAAGGCGUCUGACUAGAACGGAUCCGACGGUGAGGGACGAAGCCCUGGGGCGCAAACGGGAUUAGAUACCCCGGUAGUCCAGGGUGUAAACGCUGCGGGCUUGGUGUUGGGGGUCCUUAGUGGGCGCCCAGUGCCGGAGAGAAGUUGUUAAGCCUGCUGCUUGGGGAGUAUGUCCGCAAGGAUGAAACUUAAAGGAAUUGGCGGGGGAGCACCGCAACGGGAGGAGCGUGCGGUUCAAUUGGAUUCAACGCCGAAAAACUCACCAGGAGCGACGGAUAUAUGAAGGUCAAGCCGAUGACUUUACCUGAUUUUCCGAGAGGUGGUGCAUGGCCGUCGUCAGUUCGUACCGUAAGGCGUUCUCUUAAGUGAGAUAACGAACGAGACCCUCACCAUUAAUUGCUAAUCCUUUCUCCGGAGGGGAUGCACAUUAAUGGGACCGCUGGCGCUAAGUCAGAGGAAGGAGAGGUCAACGGUAGGUCCGUAUGCCCCGAAUCUCCUGGGCAACACGCGCGCUACAAAGGACGGGACAAUGGGCUUCAACACCGAAAGGUGAAGACAAUCCUGAAACCCGUCCAUAGUUCGGAUUGGGGGCUGUAACUCGCCCCCAUGAAGCUGGAUUCCGUAGUAAUCGCUUGUCAACAUCAAGCGGUGAAUAUGCCCCUGCUCCUUGCACACACCGCCCGUCAAACCACCCGAGUUGGGUUUCAGUGAGGAUGUUUCUAAUUGGGGCUUUCGAACUGAGAUUCAGCAAGGAGGGUUAAGUCGUAACAAGGUAUCUGUAGGGGAACCUGCAGAUGGAUCACCUCCUACGUAACAAAUUAA